UACGAAGGGGGCUAGCGUUGUUCGGAAUCACUGGGCGUAAAGCGCACGUAGGCGGAUCUUUAAGUCAGAGGUGAAAUCCCAAGGCUCAACCUUGGAACUGCCUUUGAUACUGAGAAGCUUGAGUCCGGGAGAGGUGAGUGGAACUGCGAAUGUAGAGGUGAAAUUCGUAGAUAUUCGCAAGAACACCAGUGGCGAAGGCGGCUCACUGGCCCGGUACUGACGCUGAGGUGCGAAAGCGUGGGGAGCAAACAGG
rnacentral:rRNA from 1 species